rnacentral:ribozyme from 1 species
UUCUUUCCUUGGCACUUCAGGCGGCACUGCAUUACUUUCCGCGCAUUCAUUUUAUGUGCAUGUCA